UUUUUUUUGAACCUAUUGAACAUGUUGUGACUACGUAUUAAAAACAUACUCCAUAUCUCUUUAAUAGAUUAGAUGUAUAUGACUUUCAUUAAAAAUACAAUUAUCAUCUAAUUCUUAGACUAUUAGACUGGAUUAAUGUCAACAUACCUCAUAUUGACAAUUCUAUGAUUUAACCUAAUUCAUACACGAUUUUUUUGAAAUCAAUUUCCAAUUCAUUCUUCUACAGUAAAACAACAAUUCAUUGUAGGCCACCACAGUGUUUGUGCAUAUCAUCAUCAUCUAUCAACAAUCGCGAUUUGUUCUGUAGAGUAGAAAAACCCUAGACAGCUUGGAGAUGUCUUCUGAGUUUCUGGGUUUCCUAAGAAUCCAGACCUUACUCUUCCUGAUCUUAACUAUGAUUGCAACAGGUUGGAGUCAUCGAUAGCGUCGAGAUCAUACAUAUUCAUCACUAGAAGCAUCAUCCACUAAUUACAACAAUUCCCUUGAGUAGCUGGAUCAGACUGUGAACAAGGAGAUGCUUCCACUGUCGUCAAGUUGCAGAAUGCAAUAAAGUUAAACGGUGGAGGUGUUUUGAUUUUUUUUAUCUUGGCUCUGUUGUGUUCGGUUCGUUGGUUUGUGUUUGGUUGGAUCUCAUAAUAGGUAAAUAGAAAAGUUACAGUUUUCUGAUCAAUCAAGUUGACAUAAAGAAGUUUAGUUGUUGAGCUAGUCGAGUUAGUAGAGAAAUAUGGUUUUGAUAAUCAGUUGUGGUGAGAUUACCAGAAGGAAUCUCCUUUAGAGUGGAUUUGAAGUUUGAUUAGUGAUGAAAGAUGGUUUAGGAGGUGCUUAAGGCUGUUGAGUCUUGAGCUCAGAACAAAUAUAUAUGAUUGAUAGUUUAGGGAAACCCAAGAAAAAAUCGAGCUAAAGUUUUGGGUUUUUUCUUUGUUCUUGAUGUUUUCCUAAGAAGCAAUAGAGAAUGAGUGUUUUUUGUGUGCUAGAGAAUGAAAGUCAUUGACUUUAUUACUAAUGUACAGUCAUCUGCACCGCUUAUUUUUGGAAGAACCUUGCUGCUGUCAAUCAAGUUCGUGUAAAAAAUGAGUGAAAAAAAUUUGGCUCUCUAGAAGAUUUGGUGAAAAAAAUGAGUAAAGCUUUGUAGUGGGUUAUUGCCCAAAGCUAGACAUGAGCUCCUCAAAGAUUGACAAGCAUGCUCUGUUUGAGCAAGCUCGCAAAAACAUAUAUAUGCAGUUCCAGAUGCAACGGUCUACUGCUUAAAAGUUUCUUGCAGAUUGUUUCAUAUGGAAAGUUUUUACAACAAAAAGGAUCCACAUGAAGUCAUGCAUGCAACAUAUCAGUAGCCUCAAAAAGAUUAAAGUAAUUGUAAAUCAUUUGUUAAUAACAGAUGUAUAGGUGAGUUACAGGACCCCACUGUUCAUCAGUGGGAAGAUCUCACAACAAUUCACACUUCUUGAUUGCUAUUUGUUUGUAAAAUUUUCCAAAAGUUUCAAAAUGUAAAUUUAUACGAGGUUGUAAUAUUCUUUUGAUAUUCUAGCAUUUUCUGUUUUUUUUUUCUUUAAGCUCUUUUAACUACGGAUCAACAAAAUUUACAAGUGUAAAACGUGAGUUUAUCUUCAAAAUUUUAUAAAAAACUAAUAUGUAUGUAUUCAAAAUAUUAUUAAAUUAUAUAUAUGAAAACGAUUGUUUCUAUGAUAAAACAUUUUAAACUAUUAAACAAAUAUGUAAAAAUAUUUUCAAAAACAUGUAUAGCAUUAACUUAUACAUAUUACAUAUAAAUUUGUCUGAUAAAAAAAACAUUUGACACGAAAAGUGUGUACAAAAAAGUCCAAAAUGAUACAAAACCAAAAUAACAAAACCUAAACCUAAACCAAACCUAAAUUCAUAAAUAACUGAACAAUUACUAUAUUUCUUGAACCAAAAAUCAAAAUCCACAACCGAACCGGUGCCAAAUCAAAAAAUAAAACAAAUAAUUUUAACACGAACCGAAUUUUAUAAAGUA